GUCUGGGCAGAAUUAGCUUGAGAGAGUGUUUUUAACAAUUGUUUGAUUGAAGCAGAAACCGUAAUUUUUAUCUUUGUUGGACCGUUGCGUCCUGAGUUUUACCUGUUUAAAACUCUUGUUGUUCCCGUUUCGGACCGCUGCGUCCUAUAUCUGUUCCGCGUAACAACGUUAUAACCGGGUAUUACUCUUCUGAUCAGAAAGGCCAGUGUAAGCCGUAUUAACUUGAAUUCGGCCAUUGGUUUGUUUCUGUGAAUGAAGGGAAUUACUCCGAGUUGUGGCGCGGGAGUCAGACUGUGAUCUAUACACUCACGGCCAUCCAGACGCCUCAGAGACACAGAUCGUGUAGGGCCGAACUCGGUCUCUUUUAGACAUUAAGGCCACAUUAGCUCUUUUAGGUGUGCGGCAUUGGAAGGGCGACCACGUGGGACGAAGCAAUCUCCCCCCUCUUCCCCUUCUCUAUCUCUCUUUCAUCCACAGACACACACACACACACACACACACACACACACACACACACAGACACACACACACACACACAUUCACACCCCUUUCAUAAGCCUUGCUUGAUAAUGUUUGUUGCUUAGAUUAGUUUAUAAUAGUUAUUUGUUUGAUUAAGUUCAUUGAUUUUGGAUUGAUGUUGUUUUGUUUAAAUAAAUUCUGUUAUAAUUUAAGAGA